rnacentral:rRNA from 1 species
UACGUAGGGGGCAAGCGUUGUCCGGAAUUAUUGGGCGUAAAGAGCGCGUAGGCGGUCCGAUAAGUCGGCUGUGAAAGUCAGGGGCUCAACCCUUGAAAGCCGGCCGAUACUGUCGGACUAGAGUCCGGAAGAGGCGAGUGGAAUUCCCGGUGUAGCGGUGAAAUGCGCAGAUAUCGGGAGGAACACCAAUGGCGAAGGCAGCUCGCUGGGACGGUACUGACGCUGAUGCGCGAAAGCCAGGGGAGCGAACGGG